CAUGAGGAUGAAUAACUUGACUUGGGCAACUCACCGGUGGGUUUUCCUGAGAUCUCAUGGACUUUUUCAUAAAGCUUACGUUUUAUAUUUUACAAUUUGUAUUGAAGCAUAAUGUGCAGAGUGAAAAGCACCAAUCUUGGGAGUUCAGCCAGACCUGCCUUGGAGAACCUUUCCCUCCACGUCUUCUGUCUGUGUUUUAGAGAACUGGAAAAUAGGCCACUUUAACAUGGUCUCUCCUACAAAGAGGUAAGAAGACCCAGCAGAAGGGCAGAAGAACUGGGAGUCUGGCCAGACCUCUGGAUGAAUGUCAGGGUUGUUGUUAUACCCAGGACUGUUGUCACCCUCUUGUCUCUGGACAUAGUGACAAGGGACAAGGCAAAGAGAGAGGGCCUGUGUUCUUGUGGACAUGUGGUUGGCAAGGUUCUGGCCAGAGUCGGAAGGGCCAGGACCCCACGUUCCUUCCUCCUAUGUUUGUAUCCCAUUCAAACCAAGAUUAAAAUUCUAAGCCCUCCAGCCAACUGAAUGGACGCCUCCUCUCAGCCCAAGGCAUUCUAGUGUUAACCUCAAACACUGGUUCAGGCCAUGAUGGGACGUGGGGAUCAGGAAUACCUCAUGAUAUCCUCCUCCCAUUGGAAUUCAGGCACAGCUGGCCAGCAUUAACAUUAAAACAGAG
rnacentral:lncRNA from 10 species